GAUUAAAUAAGGGUUGAAUAAAGAAAACUAAUGAAAGAUCAAUUUAUUAACAUGACGAAAAGACAAUUAACUUGAAAAAACGCUGUGUCUUCAGACGUAGACUCUUAAUUUGGCGGAAAAGCGAUUAGCCUAUUAUUAUGUGAAAUAAAAAGUAGGCUACAUUGGACUAAAUUAAACACAUUGGGUAGGCUGUCCUCGAUAAAAACGAAAGACACACAUGGAGAAAUAUCGCAUAUUAACUUGGAUAUUAACUUGGAACCGGAAUCCUAUAGGAUCCGGUGCGCCACCACACAAUGCAAACAUAAACAUCCGAUUACGCUAGCUCUACAUGGCUACUGUUGAGCCAUACAGGCAAGACUGGAAAAGGACUCCCAGACCCCUCGACCAAAGGCGAUCAAGCUUUUUGGUUGGCUUCUACUUUUCUGGGACAACCUUUCUGGUGAAUGUUGGCCCGCACAGGCCCCGUACCAAGAGACAGAAAAUGUUGAAAGAGGGUUGCACUGCUGUACAAAUUGUCCAUGUAUAGUACUACAUGGCCUUCUCUCAGGUGUGCAGAGCAAGUAAGGUCAGCACAAAGCGACCCAUCCCUGCUGAACAUCAACUAAACCGUCGAGCACUUAAUUCCUUGAUGUACCAGCAGUGGCUGAAAGACCGUCUGCCAUCCCACAUCUUCACCACAUUGCAUAGAGGGACUAUAGAGAACUUCCAGAGGAGCUGCAUCACGGCUGGUUUUGGAACUGCACCGCUUUAAACCGCAACUCUGCAGAGGAUGGUGAGGACAGCCGGGAAGAUAGUCAGGGUCUCUCUUCCCUCCCUCACAAACAUACCUAAUGCUGCAUCCGCAAAGCCACACGCAUUGUGGGAAAACCCAUGCACCCCACACGCACCUGUACAUCCUCAGACUUCACUCGAUAUUUUUGCAUAUGGCUGCUACCUCAUUAACUGAUGUCCACACAUGGUAUUAGGAUGUUAUGUUUAC